AGGGGUAAUGAGCCAACAUUAGGGCUUAACAGUUAAGCAUGUUUGGGCUAGAGUAAUACUGAGAUGGGUGACCUCUUGGGAAGCCUUAGUGUUUUACAUG
rnacentral:rRNA from 1 species